rnacentral:rRNA from 1 species
UACGUAGGGUGCAAGCGUUGUCCGGAAUUAUUGGGCGUAAAGAGCGUGUAGGCGGCCCGAUUAGUCCGCUGUGAAAGUCCAGGGCUCAACCCUGGAAUGCCGGUGGAUACUGUCGGGCUAGAGUCCGGAAGGGGCGAGUGGAAUUCCUGGUGUAGCGGUGAAAUGCGCAGAUAUCAGGAAGAACACCCGUGGCGAAGGCGGCUCUCUGGGACGUGACUGACGCUGAGACGCGAAAGCGUGGGGAGCGAACAGG